rnacentral:rRNA from 1 species
UACGGGGGGAGCAAGCGUUGUUCGGAUUUUCUGGGCGUAAAGGGCGCGUAGGCGGUCAGCACAAGUCAGUUGUGAAAUCUCCGGGCUUAACUCGGAAAGGUCAACUGAUACUGUGCGACUAGAGUGCAGAAGGGGCAACUGGAAUUCUCGGUGUAGCGGUGAAAUGCGUAGAUAUCGAGAGGAACACCUGCGGCGAAGGCGGGUUGCUGGGCUGACACUGACGCUGAUGCGCGAAAGCCAGGGGAGCGAACGGG